AUUGAACGCUGGCGGCAGGCCUAACACAUGCAAGUCGGACGGUAGCACAGAGGAGCUUGCUCCUCGGGUGACGAGUGGCGGACGGGUGAGUAAUGUCUGGGGAUCUGCCCGAUAGAGGGGGAUAACCACUGGAAACGGUGGCUAAUACCGCAUAACGUCGCAAGACCAAAGAGGAGGACCUUCGGGCCUCUCACUAUCGGAUGAACCCAGAUGGGAUUAGCUAGUAGGCGGGGUAACGGCCCACCUAGGCGACGAUCCCUAGCUGGUCUGAGAGGAUGACCAGCCACACUGGAACUGAGACACGGUCCAGACUCCUACGGGAGGCAGCAGUGGGGAAUAUUGCACAAUGGGCGCAAGCCUGAUGCAGCCAUGCCGCAUGUAUGAAGAAGGCCUUCGGGUUGUAAAGUACUUUCAGCGGGGAGGAAGGCGAUAAGGUUAAUAACCUUGUCGAUUGACGUUACCCGCAGAAGAAGCACCGGCUAACUCCGUGCCAGCCGCCGCCGUAA
rnacentral:rRNA from 1 species